CCUACGGGGGGCAGCAGUGGGGAAUAUUGCACAAUGGGGGAAACCCUGAUGCAGCGACGCCGCGUGAGUGAAGAAGAAUUUCGGUACGUAAAGCUCUAUCAGCAGGGAAGAAAAUGACGGUACCUGACGAAGAAGCCCCGGCUAACUACGUGCCAGCAGCCGCGGGAAUACGUAGGGGGCAAGCGUUAUCCGGAUUGACGGGGUGGAAAGGGAGCGUAGACGGCAGCGCAAGUCGGGAGUGAAAUCCCAUGGCUUAACCAUGGAACUGCUUUGGAAACUGUGCAGCUAGAGUGCAGGAGCGGUAAGCGGACUUCCUAGUGUAGCGGUGAAAUGCGUAGAUAUUAGGAG
rnacentral:rRNA from 1 species